rnacentral:lncRNA from 1 species
CUUUCUAAACUCAGUCUCGCAAAUUGUAUAAGAUUUUUCUUUUUUAUCAAGGUCGAUAGAUUCCUUCUACAUGCAUCUUACUCUAAAUAGCGAACCUGAACCUCCUAAAACCAACAUACGUAGCAAGAAUCUGAAUGGCUAGGGACCAAAAAAAUAUGCAGUCAAACCCAAUAGCCUCGCUGCAAAUAGCCAAUGACACCAUAGGUUAAAAGACCACUCACACCACUGC